rnacentral:lncRNA from 1 species
UGAGCCAGAAUGAGCUUUGUCACGAAAGAGCCUCGAGGUGGGUGGGAGUAAAGGGGGCGUUGUGAGAACAACGGGAGAGUCGGCUUUAAGUGGAAGAAGAAAGAGCCACUAUCUACUGCAUGGAGUGGGGUUGGGGGGAAACAACCUUCACAAGGUUCACAGCUUUUCGGGGUAUGUGUGUGGAGGGGAGUCAGUCUUCCUCAGCCUCUGUGACUCCUGGGUUCACUGAACCAGGAUCCUGACACUGAAGAACAACCUGCUGGUCCAGAUCAAAAGUCAAUAUAUGACAAUAAAACUACAGGAACAAGGGCUGGAGAGUAGCCCAGCCUUCAAUCCCAGCACUUGGGAGGAGGGUAAGUUGAUCUGUGAGUUCAAAGCCAACCAGGUCUUCAUAGUGUCCAAACUACCCCCAAAUUAAAAAUGUCUAAAAACCAGGAAACAAUUGGAAACUUCAGGCAGCCUGUUGACUGGAAUGUCCUGUUGGAGACCCAUCACCCAGAAUCAGAGAGCUUCAAGGAACUAAGUUUGAGUUUAUUGAGCUAAUGUUUACAAAGCCCUCUUGAAAACUUUGCUGGCCAGGUAUGGUAGCAUCUGUCAUCCUACCAUUCUGGAAGCAGAGGCAGGAGAAUUUCAGCAAGUUCACAAGCCUGGUCUACACAGCUCUAAGUUAUCAAGGUACAUGGAGAGACCCGGACUCAAAACAAAACAACCUCCAUGUUGUCCCUUAAAACAAACAAACAAAAACCAAAAU